rnacentral:rRNA from 1 species
AUUGAACGCUGGCGGCAAGCUUAACACAUGCAAGUCGAGCGGGGGAAGGUAGCUUGCUACCGGACCUAGCGGCGGACGGGUGAGUAAUGCUUAGGAAUCUGCCUAUUAGUGGGGGACAACAUCUCGAAAGGGAUGCUAAUACCGCAUACGUCCUACGGGAGAAAGCAGGGGAUCUUCGGACCUUGCGCUAAUAGAUGAGCCUAAGUCGGAUUAGCUAGUUGGUGGGGUAAAGGCCUACCAAGGCGACGAUCUGUAGCGGGUCUGAGAGGAUGAUACGCCACACUGGGGCUGAGACACGGCCCAGACUCCUACGGGAGGCAGCAGUGGGGAAUAUUGGACAAUGGGGGGAACCCUGAUCCAGCCAUGCCGCGUGUGUGAAGAAGGCCUUAUGGUUGUAAAGCACUUUAAGCGAGGAGGAGGCUACUUUAGUUAAUACCUAGAGAUAGUGGACGUUACUCGCAGAAUAAGCACCGGCUAACUCUGUGCCAGCCGCCGCCGUAA